GGUGACACAGCACUGGCACUGGUUACACAGAGAAGCUGAGGAGUCUCCUCUUUGAAGAGAAAGCAACGCAGAAGAACAGAAGUGAAGACAAACACCCUGAAGGUGAUAAAUGAAGAGAUUGAAAAAGUGAACUGCUACAGAAUUCUGAUGAGCAAGCUCUUUCUUGCUUCAGCAAGAAAAAAAACGAAGACUGCAGCUGAUUUCCAUGAAACAGACUGCAGCUGGAAAUCAGCUUAUUAAAAAUGAACUGUUAAAUAAAAGACACUCUCAUAGUACCUAUUUUUCUGUGAGCGAGGGCUGAGUCACCCUGACCUGCCUCACUGGAAGUCCUUUAAAGACACUAAGGCUUACAAGGCGAGCAGAAGUAAACACAAAGAAAUAGCAACAGAAUGAGACAUUAAAUCACAGAAGCAUUCUUUCCUGUUGCACGGGAAACUGUUACACAUGAGAUAAAGCAGUAUUACACAGAAUUGCAGGGGCUGGAAGGGACCUCGCGUGAUCAUCAAGAUACCACAAAGCCAUGGUACCGUAGAUUAGUGAAGACUAUUUCCAUUGUGUUUCAUAGUACACUGAGGCAUCGCCAUUUUUCAGGCUCUCUCCUUUCUGGACACACUUUGUAGUGGG